rnacentral:rRNA from 1 species
GUGAACGCUGGCGGUAGGCCUAACACAUGCAAGUCGAACGGCAGCACAGUAAGAGCUUGCUCUUACGGGUGGCGAGUGGCGGACGGGUGAGGAAUACAUCGGAAUCUACUUUUUCGUGGGGGAUAACGUAGUGAAACUUACGCUAAUACCGCAUACGACCUACGGGUGAAAGCAGGGGAUCUUCGGACCUUGCGCGAUUGAAUGAGCCGAUGUCGGAUUAGCUAGUUGGCGGGGUAAAGGCCCACCAAGGCGACGAUCCGUAGCUGGUCUGAGAGGAUGAUCAGCCACACUGGAACUGAGACACGGUCCAGACUCCUACGGGAGGCAGCAGUGGGGAAUAUUGGACAAUGGGCGCAAGCCUGAUCCAGCCAUACCGCGUGGGUGAAGAAGGCCUUCGGGUUGUAAAGCCCUUUUGUUGGGAAAGAAAAGCAGCAGGUUAAUACCCCGCUGUUCUGACGGUACCCAAAGAAUAAGCACCGGCUAACUUCGUG